CAACCAAUCAGCGUACGUAACAGAUAUUCAAUAAAUGCCUCAUUUUUAAAUUAUACUUGGUAUAAUAUAGACAAAUGUAAAUAAAUGCUUCUCGCUAACAUUUCAGAAAUGUAUAAUAAAUACGUACCCGCCUUUUAUAUCCAUCCAUAUGGUAGAUACGCAAAAUGAUUUUGACUUGAAUUUGAAGAAUUUGGAAGAAAAUGAUGAAGGCAAGACUCGAGGCAUAUAGACGUAAAAAACAUAAAGAAGAAAUGAUCGAAUCGCUUAAAAGUUCAAUAAAGGGUGUUCUACCAUGGAACGGAAAUUCUGACGUAAAUUUCGAAAGAUUAUCAAACGAAGAAGUAUCAAGCGAGGAAACAGAAAAUUUAUGUCAGACUGUUGAAAUGUCAAAUCAAAAAAAUAUAUCGAAAGAAAGAAUAGAGAAUUUAGAGAAUGCAGAAGAUUUAGAAAGUUUGAAAGAUGAUACAGAUAAUGCGCAAUGCAGUCUCAUAAAUAAAAUAAUAUAUUUCUUAUAUUUUUCUUUAUGGCUAACAUUAUAUAUAAUUGCAAUAGAGAUUGAAUUUGGAGCUGUGUAUUUUGUGAUAUCUGCAUUAGUAUUAAUUUGUUUAAAUACAAGAUCAAGACCUAAAAAGAAAGGUGAACUCAGUGCUUAUUCCGUUUUCAAUCCAAACUGUGAAGCUAUUGAAGGAACUCUUGAUGCUUCCCAAUUUGAAAGAGAAAUUAGAUAUGGUGCUUCAAGCGUACAUUGACCAGAGAGACAAGCUUUCUAUUUUUACUCAAAAAUCGAAGAAUAAUGGAUUGCAGAAUUCCUACACCCGAAUCAUCAUCUACAAAUGUACCUAAUCCAACUAAAUCAUGUGUAGAAAUGGUUUCAGUAGGUUGUUCUACUGAUGAUUUGCAUAGUGACGAUUAUGAAGCAUAUGAGCCAGAAACCUGUACAAGAAAUAAAUUAGUUUUACGAGCUGUAAUGAAUAUAGCAAAAUUAA